UACAGAGGGUGCGAGCGUUAAUCGGAAUUACUGGGCGUAAAGCGCGCGUAGACGGUUUUGUAAGUCAGAUGUGAAAUCCCUGGGCUCAACCUGGGAACUGCAUUUGAAACUGCAUGGCUAGAGUAUGGAAGAGGGAAGUGGAAUUUCCGGUGUAGCGGUGAAAUGCGUAGAUAUCGGGAGGAACACCUGAGGCGAAGGCGGGCUACUGGGCCGACACUGACGCUGAAGUGCGAAAGCUAGGGGAGCGAACGGG
rnacentral:rRNA from 1 species